GAUCAUGGCUCAGGAUGAACGCUGGCGGCGUGCUUAACACAUGCAAGUCGAACGGGAAUUACUUUAUUGAAACUUCGGUCGAUUUAAUUUAAUUCUAGUGGCGACGGGUGAGUAACGCGUGGGUAACCUGCCUCAUACAGGGGGAUAACAGUUAGAAAUGACUGCUAAUACCGCAUAAGACCACGGUACCGCAUGGUACAGUGGUAAAAACUCCGGUGGUAUGAGAUGGACCCGCGUCUGAUUAGGUAGUUGGUGGGGUAACCGG
rnacentral:rRNA from 1 species